AUGUCCUCUGCUGCUCCUACUCCUCGAGCCUCCAAGCACUUCCUGCCUGCUGAAUCAGCAUCCCCGGCUCGGCUGGCCGCCGCCGUGGUCCGCUGGUCUGAGAUGCGGAGCCUAGCGGGAGCAUGUGGGACGGCCACGCAAGAGGUUGGCGUGUCCUUGGCGGGUGCUCGGGCUUGUGGAGGAGGGGCCAAGUAUGGAGGGGAAGGACGUCGAGAAUCAGCAUUAGCGCCAUCAAUUUGGUACUCAGAGAUGAAGAAGAAAGGGACUGCAGCUCAUACAUGCAGUAUUACCUCCGCUUAA
rnacentral:rRNA from 1 species